rnacentral:rRNA from 1 species
AACGAACGCUGGCGGCAGGCCUAACACAUGCAAGUCGAACGGACCUUUCGGGGUUAGUGGCGGACGGGUGAGUAACGCGUGGGAAUAUGCCCUUCGGUUCGGAAUAGCCUCGGGAAACUGGGAGUAAUACCGGAUACGGUCUACGGACGAAAGAUUUAUCGCCGAAGGAUUAGCCCGCGUUGGAUUAGGUAGUUGGUGGGGUAAUGGCCUACCAAGCCGACGAUCCAUAGCUGGUUUGAGAGGAUGAUCAGCCACACUGGGACUGAGACACGGCCCAGACUCCUACGGGAGGCAGCAGUGGGGAAUAUUGGACAAUGGGCGAAAGCCUGAUCCAGCAAUGCCGCGUGAGUGAUGAAGGCCUUAGGGUUGUAAAGCUCUUUUACCCGGGAUGAUAAUGACAGUACCGGGAGAAUAAGCUCCGGCUAACUCCGUGCCAGCAGCCGCGGUAAU